CAUUAGUUAGAUUACUCAGUGCUGACUUCGGAAAAAUGAAUUUAUAAUUCAGUUGAUACUGAAUAUGAUACUUGAGCAGGGCCUCAGUUUUUUAAAAAAAUAACCUACAUACAAAUGAAGCCAGAGCUUCGUUUACUGAUUUUGGCAUUGCAGUUUUCAGUACUAAAGAUGCAAGACAAUUUUCAAACUAAACAACUCAUCUCUUCAGAAGUGAACAUUGCCAACAAAUUAAGGGUGCAAUCCUAAACACACUUUCUAGGGAGUAAGCACAGUUGAACACUGUGUGGUUUGUUUCCAGGUAAACACGCACAUGACUGCUCUGUAAGUUCCUGUAACAUUCACGAGUAUCGCCUGUAUGUACAUACCAUAGUUUUUCAGACUGAUAAAAUUACUGUUUUCAGAACCAUUUAAGGGAGUGUUGACCCUGAAGAUGCCGCAAAUAAAUAUUUUGGCAUUAUACUAUGUAAAAAGAUAGGAAAUACAACAGAGGUAAUGCUAACUGUUGAAUACUGGGGCAGGCAGAUGGGUGGUGGAAAUAAAAGAAAUGGAACGAAUAGGUUACAAACACAGUUAAUGUCCCUAUAAUCUGUGUGAGGCAGCUAUCACAGAAUAAGGGACAAGUUCCUGAGCCCCAAAACACUGAUAAGAAGGGUUUAAAACAAUGGGUGCUUACUAUGACAGCAAGUCAAUUGUUGCAUAUUUAUUUUUGUUUGCAUGUUCUUUGCUUAUGAAAUACAUGGGAGUGCUAUGAACAUAUACCCAUGCAUCAAAAGUUCCUACUCAGGAUGCCGGUAUUUUCCCCACCUCAAGCAUCCUAGAGUCCAUCUGGAUAAGUACAAUAUAUUCCUAGAAAUUCUACAGGAUUUUUAGGGGGUUUUGUUUGCCCAUUAGCAUGCAGCGGUGUGCAACUACUGUAAGAACUUACUAAGGCACCACAUCUGCCUUGCAUGGGAUCAAAGUAAGAACACAAAUAGGUGUAGAUAAUUUAUAAAAGUGAUCAGUUUAAAGAAGAAGAAUUGCCUUACAUACUAAGAGACCAGUAUUCUAGGUUCAUAUAAUUUCUGAGCAGAGUCUUUGAUUACUUAUACUGGCGCAAUCCCAGUAAUGCCCAUGGACUUCUUCACUAUAUGGAUUUAUGAGCAAUGAGAUGACACCAAUUUAAAUUAGCAAUUAAUUUCUGGUGUGUAAAGCUUGAAAUAGUUUGCCUUUGGAGCUAUACAUUAGCAUUCAGAUGUAAAUUUCCACCAAUUAUACAGGAUUUUUAUAUAGCCAGAUUUUUAUUUUUUUAAUGAGAGCAAAUAUUCAGCCCUUAAAGGUAAAGGGACCCCUGACCAUUAGGUCCAGUCGUGGCCGACUCUGGGGUUGCAGCACUCAUCUCGGUUUACUUGCCAAGGGAGCCGGCAUACAGCUUCUGGGUCAUGUGACUAGCAUGACUAAGCCGCUUCUGGCGAACCAGAGCAGCACAUGGAAAUGCCGUUUACCUUCCCGCCGGAGUGGUACCUAUUUACUUGCACUUUGAUGUGCUUUCAAACUGCUAGGUUGGCAGGAGCAGGGACUAAGCAACAGGAGCUCACCCCGUCGCAGGGAUUCAAACCGCCGACCUUCUGAUCGGCAAGCCCUAGGCUCUGGUUUAACCCACAGCACCACCCACCUUAGUUUGUACUUAAUGCAUCUAUCCACAAGACUGCAAUUGACCAUUUCCCUCCACUUUUUGGCUACAAUUUUUAAACAAAACCAGGGUUCACAAACCUACUUGGAUUAAACAUGUCUCUCUCUGCUAGUGGAAAGGAACUUUGGUGCUAAUGGACACUUGUGGUCACUAGAACGCUAGUUCAGCCAGGAGAACUGAGCAACACCUUUGCCCAGUCCAACCUGUUCUGUGUGUUUAGGAUUGUGGUCUAAAUGAUCAAUAGUAGCAAACAAUCACAACUGGAUUUCACAAAAAUCAUCAUCUUCUCUUCUUUUUUGCGCAACCAAAAAUCAUUUUAACAAAAUCUUGUUAAAUAAUAAUUAUAUUUCAACCCACAAUUUUCUGAGAAGCCAUUGCUCUAGUCCAUAUCAUAAUCUAAGACAAGGUGACAUUUUAUUUCUGCACAUCUUCUUAACAUAGAAGAUAAAACUGUUGGGAAAAAUUAUCUUUACAAGUGGAACACCCACAGACUAUUUUGUGUGGUGAGGUAACCAUUUGCUCUAUGGUCAAUCUCAGUGUUGCACAUCUAGCCAUGUGAGAUCAUGGCCACCUGUUGCAUCAUGUGAUGAGGAAAAAUUUACUAAGUCCCUGCUACCAGUGGGAAAUGAGGGCAAGAUAGAUGCCUAGCCAUUUGGUUUCCCAUAAGCCAAAUCCUGUGUGGUGAUAGGUUUCUAUGAACAGUACAUCUUGGGCAGCCUGCUGGUAGGUGUUGUUGUUUUUUUAAUUGCCUUUUUUAUUUCUGCAUUCCCAUAUUUACUUAUUUUGUGCCUUUGCAAAUCACUUUUAUAUUAACUUGAACAAGUAACAUUACUACAUGCAAGCUUUCCAAGUUGUAUUUCAAGUAUCCAUCACAUGACUAGCAGUUGUAUGAAGCGGCCACAAAUACAGGUGUUUGUCUGAUGCAGGUUCACUCAAGAUGCUCAUGUAGGCCCACCAAUCCUUUGGCAAGUGCUCGCCAUGGGUAAAUAUCACUUGAACCUGGUGGUCACAGAUAUGGCUGGCCAGAAUUCACAUUUUUCCAGAGGCCACAAUUGCAGGCAUUGUGGCCAAUUACGUAUCGGACAGCCCACCUGGUAAUAUGUUAGCAUUAGCCAUCAGUUGCAAAUGUGCCCUAGAUUAUACUCAUUCAUUUUUGUGUAUGUCAGAGGGGGCAGUUUCCACUAUACGGUAUCGGCAACCUGUAGGAAAUUCCUGCUAGGACUUAAUGUUGUCAUGUUAUAAUGAUCUGUUUCCAUUCCUCUCGCACUCCUUAACAUAGAACUCAAUUAGUCCAUAGUUGCAGGGGUUUUUUCUCUUGGUGCCAGCAUUGUUUUAAAAAAAAACAGGAAAGGCGAUAGAGUGCUAUCUAUAAGUCUGGCACCUUUCUGCUAGCAUUUACAUGGUCUCAAUACAGUUCUUCGGUGUAUGUCAUUACAAUGGCAUGUUUUUAUUGUUUACACUCACUGAGCAACUUAAGAAACGGAAGUAUUCUGUACAGUAAUUUAUGCUCUAAAGUGUGUGUGUGUGUGUAUGUAUAUAUGUAUGUAUGUAUAUGUAUAUAUAUAUAUAUAUUGAAAGGUUUGAAGUUAUUAAUUUAUUGAAUUAGUUGGCAUUUCCUCCCCAGUCUCCAAGGGUGCGUCAGAAAGGAACAGCAAUAUCAAGGAGCCCAGGGAUUUGCCUUUUGGUCUGUCUAGCUCACUCUCAUUUUCACUGACAGCCGGCAGCUCUCCCAAGAUUUUAGACAAGGGGGUCUCUCCCAGUCCUAAUUGGAAAUAUCAGGAACUGAAAUCUGGACCUACUGCAUCCUGAGUUAUGACUCUCUCCCCAGCUCUAUGUCAUGGGCAACUUUCUUCGACCUAACUUUCCAAAACACCCUUGUAGUUGCAGAUAACUUUCUUCUUAGACAAUACUAAUCUGAGGCUAUGGCUGCUGCAUUUUGAUCACUUUGCAGUGAAUUAUUUACGCCAAACCUAUUAUCAAUUUAAUUAGAAGUAGCAAUGUCAGAGUGUCAAUCCAAGCAAUACAUAGCGAAUUAGGAAGGGAAGGGAGUAAUAUUAGUUCUUUAUAACUACAAAACAUACAUGAUACAUGACAAGAACGGACUGCAAAGUGCUUUUCCAUUUUGCCUCUUUGAGACCAAAAACAGGAAGCCAAUCAAAAUACUAAGCUCAUCUGCAGCAAGUCUGUCUCAAUUCCUUCCUCAAGGAAUAUAGCUGAAGCUGAAAUGAUGCAUCCAUUGGUGUGUCUGUUUGUUGAUGAUAAUGAAUACAGGUGUGUUCUUAACCUUGAGGGGUUAAUUCACAUGCUGUUUGUACCAGUGUAUAUUCACGUCAUUAGAACUGCAUCAAUGUGAGUGGUUUGUCAUUUCCUGAGAGUUUUGUCUCAGCCAAGCAUGUGACUGAUGGAGUGAAUAGCGUGCUUAUGUACUAUUUGAACUUGAUGGUCUCCCAAAUUUUGUAAUAGGAAUUGCAGGAUGUGCAAGCAACGUCUGUAUUAUUCUGCCUUCUAGAGUAUCAAACUACUUGACAUAGCUCAGCAGAUGACAUUUAUUCAAUGCCAUAUUUGCAAAUAAAAUAUUAAAUCCGUUGGCCCCACUUCAUGAUAAGGAAAAUAAUGUGAGAGGUUUGUUUGUUUAUAGCUCUUUUACAUAGUUAAAGUUCAUGUGUAUAAAGUGAUGAAAUAUUAUUGACAAAUUGUUUUGCUGUUUGGAGAUUUUGCUGUUUCUACCAUUCAUACAAAACUCAUGUAGCACAGUUCCUGGAAUGGUGAAAAACCCUACUGUAAUGUUACAGAAUGAGCCUUAAGGAUUUGUUUUUGUUUUGUUUUUUAAAAAAGCACUUUUAUAUUAUAAAUAUUAAUUCAUCGAUAAGAUUACUUUUUUAAUGUGAAAAUAAACCAUGAACUCGACACCUUUAACAUCUCAAUUUUGUCUCAUCUGAGUCAUUUUGGGAAACGUAUAAAGCUGCCAUUAUUGUAGCAGUACAUGUUUCUAAACCAUAGGGC